rnacentral:rRNA from 1 species
GAAGUAAAAGUCGUAACAAGGUUUCCGUAGGUGAACCUGCGGAAGGAUCAUUACAGAGUUCAUGCCCUUCGGGGUAGAUCUCCCACCCUGUGUAUUUAUACCUUUGUUGCUUUGGCAGGCCGUCAGGCUUCGGCUCGACUACCGGCUCCGGCUGGUAAGCGCCUGCCAGAGGAAAUCAAACUCUGAAUAUCAGUGUCGUCUGAGUAAAAUAUAAUAAGUUAAAACUUUCAACAACGGAUCUCUUGGUUCUGGCAUCGAUGAAGAACGCAGCGAAAUGCGAUAAGUAAUGUGAAUUGCAGAAUUCAGUGAAUCAUCGAAUCUUUGAACGCACAUUGCGCCCCUUGGUAUUCCGAGGGGCAUGCCUGUUCGAGCGUCAUUACAACCCUCAAGCUCUGCUUGGUAUUGGGCAUCACUAGAAAUAGUGUGCCUUAAAGACAGUGGCGGUGCCAUCUGGCUCUAAGCGUAGUAAUUCUUCUCGCUAUAGAUGUCUUGUGGAUGCUUGCCAGCAACCCCUAAUUUUUUAAGGUUGACCUCGGAUCAGGUAGGGAUACCCGCUGAACUUAAGCAUA